GUGGGGAAUCUUAGACAAUGGGCGCAAGCCUGAUCUAGCCAUGCCGCGUGGACGAUGAAGGCCUUAGGGUUGUAAAGUCCUUUCGCUGGGGAAGAUAAUGACGGUACCCAGUAAAGAAGCCCCGGCUAACUCCGUGCCAGCAGCCGCGGUAAUACGGAGGGGGCUAGCGUUGUUCGGAAUUACUGGGCGUAAAGCGCGCGUAGGCGGAUCGGAAAGUUGGGGGUGAAAUCCCGGGGCUCAACCUCGGAACUGCCUUCAAAACUCCCGGUCUUGAGUUCGAGAGAGGUGAGUGGAAUUCCGAGUGUAGAGGUGAAAUUCGUAGAUAUUCGGAGGAACACCAGUGGCGAAGGCGGCUCACUGGCUCGAUACUGACGCUGAGGUGCGAAAGCGUGGGGAGCAAACAGGAUUAGAUACCCUAGUAGUCC
rnacentral:rRNA from 1 species